GCUCAUUUCAAAUCACUACAUAUAUUUUGGUGCCCCGUGUGAGGCGUUUCAAACAAAACUUCUGGAUACUAACAGACAACCUAAAACUUAGCCUUCCAAAUUGAUGAGAGAAACUUAUUUCCAGGCUAUUUUAGACUUAAUCACAAUCAAUGCUAUGCUUGCUGAAGUUGCUUGACUAAGUUCUGAUGUUUUCCUGAUCUAUGCAUAAAACCUUUAUGCUCUGUGUUUCACACACUUUUGUACUACAUGCCUGUAGUCUGUGUUUGAGCUGGACAGCGUGAAAUGUUGUUCUGAGUAGCAGUGAGACUGACUCCUCUGCUCUGUCUAGACUGUCCAAUAUUUAAGUGCACGAUUGUUGCGUCGCCGUACGCUUGUAUUUAAGGCCUUUGGCUGAACCCAGUGUUCGCGAUGCUCCGAGCUGUGGUUUCAAGCCCCUGAAGUCUCUGUAGUCUGCUACGAGGUUCUAGUAACUAUAUGGGAUUCAGAUUUCCUCCUUUCCCCUGACAGAUUAGCUACCUGUCACAGGAAACCACUGUAACAGUGGGAGGUUGUUGUUUGAUUGAAUUCAGACAAAAUUUGUGAUCACAAAUCGCCACAUUUGUGAUUUUAAAGUCUGCAGUUGAAUCUGCUGUUGAGGGAUUUGUCACUUUGAUUCUUGUCUCUAUCGUCUGCUACGAAGUUCUAGUAACUAUACAGUAUGGGAUUCAGAUUUCCUCCUUUCCCCUGACAGAUUAACUACCUGUCACAGGAAACCACUGUAACAGUGGGAGGCUGUUGUUUGAAUGAAUUCAGACAAAAUCCGUGAUCACAAAUCGCCGCAUUUGUGAUUUUUUUUAAGUCUGCAGUUGAAUCUGCUGUUUAAGGAUUUGCCACUUUGAUCCUUGUUCCUGUAAAUGAUUUUAUUGAACCAAUCGGCCUGAGCAGAUGGUGUAAAGUUCUAUGUUUGAGGGUGCAGACGCAGCCUGCUGUGAAAUGUUAACCCUUU